rnacentral:tRNA from 1 species
CUGGAAAUGGCUCAGUGGUUAAGAGCACUGGCUGCUCUUCCAGAGGACCUGGGUUCAAUUCUCAGCACCCACA